rnacentral:rRNA from 1 species
AUUGAACGCUGGCGGCAUGCCUUACACAUGCAAGUCGAACGGCAGCACGGGUGCUUGCACCUGGUGGCGAGUGGCGAACGGGUGAGUAAUACAUCGGAACGUACCUUAUCGUGGGGGGUAACGCAGCGAAAGCUGUGCUAAUACCGCAUACGCCCUGAGGGGGAAAGCGAGGGAUCGCAAGACCUCGCGCGAUUAGAGCGGCCGAUGCCUGAUUAGCUUGUUGGUGGGGUAAAAGCCCACCAAGGCGACGAUCAGUAGCUGGUCUGAGAGGACGAUCAGCCACACUGGGACUGAGACACGGCCCAGACUCCUACGGGAGGCAGCAGUGGGGAAUUUUGGACAAUGGGGGCAACCCUGAUCCAGCAAUGCCGCGUGAGUGAAGAAGGCCUUCGGGUUGUAAAGCUCUUUUGUCAGGGAAGAAACACCGGCUCUAACACAGUCCGGGAAUGACGGUACCUGAAGAAUAAGCACCGGCUAACUACGUGCCAGCCGCCGCCGAAA